AACGAACGCUGGCGGCAGGCUUAACACAUGCAAGUCGAACGGGUGUAGCAAUACAUCAGUGGCAGACGGGUGAGUAACACGUGGGAACCUUCCUAGAGGUACGGAACAACUCAGGGAAACUUGAGCUAAUACCGUAUACGCUCUUGCGAGGAAAGAUUUAUCGCCUUUAGACGGGCCCGCGUCGGAUUAGCUAGUUGGUGGGGUAACGGCCUACCAAGGCGACGAUCCGUAGCUGAUCUGAGAGGAUGAUCAGCCACACUGGGACUGAGACACGGCCCAGACUCCUACGGGAGGCAGCAGUGGGGAAUCUUGGACAAUGGGCGCAAGCCUGAUCCAGCCAUGCCGCGUGAGUGAAGAAGGCCUGGUUGUAAGCUCUUUGCCAGGGACGAUAAUGACGGUACCUGGAGAAUAAGCCCGGCAACUUACGUGCCAGCA
rnacentral:rRNA from 1 species